UGCCUUCUGGCUAAGGACAAAACAGUAAACAUUUAUAAUGAGAGAUAGUAGGAACUGCAGAUACUGGAGAAUCCGAGACAACAAGGUGCAGGGCUGGAUGAACACAGCAGGCCAAGCAGCAUCAUAGGAGCAGAGAGGCUGACGUUUCGGGCCUAGACCCUUCUCACGCUAUGCCUUCAGGGUAGUGCAUGACUUUGGGCAACUGUGGAAGAACAGGGGAUUUAUCAGCUCAUCGGUGAAACUGAUUAAGCAUGCCAUCCUGGUACUGAAUCUUUUAGAAGCCAUACAGCUGCCACAGGUUGUAUUAAAUGCAAGGCACAUACCUCUGCAGGGGAUGACGGUUCUAAGGGGAAUAGGUUCGCUGACGAAACAGAGAAGGCAGUGACUGUUGGACAGUCUCCAUUGUUGCAGACACCACGGGUUGAAUCGGGAGGUGGAAAGGCCCUUACCUGGUGCUGCUAACGACCCGCAUGGCGGUUAAAGUGAAGGAAAAACCCGACUGGAUCCACGCCACUAGGUACAAGUUGCACUACGACGAAAAAGGAGAAUAACGUCCUCUCGAAAAGAAAACAUCACUGAGAAUGAAAGGACACAACAUGCGAAGAAGUAAAAUCCUGACUGUGGCAAUUGGACUGAUAUAUGUUUUCGGACUGCACAGAGGAAAGGCGAUAAACACGUUUCUGCGUAUGCCUCAUGAGUAUGCUGAUAGAAGUAGUGCCUCUGCUUGCUGGGUAUGCACCCUCGUCCCUCACCAUGGAGGGGAAGGGGGCAUCCCCUUAAGGUCAAUCUCUUUUAGCCAUAGUGACAUAUACGCCUGGAGACGUUUUAAAAAUCAUACAUGAAAGGAGGGAGGCAUCAGAACCGGGGAUUGCUGGAUAGGAAACCCGCCCAAAGGCAGUAAGAUAUGGGAAUCCUUGUUACCUCCUUGUGUGAACAGAUCACAAGAACUCACCUUUGAUGGCUGGUACAUAUGUCAGAACAUCUAGCCCCCCCCGCAGCUUAACCGUGAGGAGGACUGGAAUAGGCAGCGAGUGCAUAUGUCAGCGAGACCACCCUAAUGCUACCUUCAUGGGCACCAGCCGCUGCGAACCUAACAACACCCUGAACCACACACUGCUGUGGGCCUUGAAUGGAACACAUUGGGUAUGCGGGGUAAAGGCCUACCCUUGGCUCCCGAUGUGGUGGACAGGCUGUUGUUAUCUAGCAUAUGUCGUACCCCAGAUCUGACACUUUGAGUCUGUAACUCAACAUCCCUGGGUACACGGCAUAGUCAAUUCUGGCACUUAUGUACAAAGGAGAGCUAAAACCGAAGCAGGGAGGUUUGGGAUAAUAGCUUUUCCCUUUUACGGAGCUGGAAAAGCAGCCAGUUAAUAAAUAUGGUCUCUGCAUUAGAGAAAUUAGCAAACGAAACAGCAGAAGGUUUCAGGGAGACACAGCAAGCUCUAUCUGCAGUUACAGUAGAAUUAGUGGUGGUUAGGACUGUGGCACUGCAGAAUAGGAUGGCAUUGGAUUUUGUAUUGGCUGAAAAGGGGGGUACCUGUGCAAUUAUAGGACAAAAGUACUGCACUUAUAUUCCCGACGAAUCAGAAAACGUUACCAACCUGGCUGAUCACAUUAGAAAAUCGGCCGAGAAAAUUAAGAAGAGAUCAGUUUCACAAUUAUAAUUCCCCUGAGGUUGGUGGAUGUUCGGUAACUGGUGGUGUAAUAUUUAACAUGGUGGUUAUUUGCGUAGUAGCUGCUAGAUUUAUUUGCACCCUGUUACCCCCGAUAUGAGGACACCGACCUAUGGUGCCAAUGUACCCUGGAACAGUGAUCGAGAGUUUUGAUGACGUUUGUUAUGAUGAGGAGGAAUGUUUAAAAAUGCGUCCUUACCCAGAGGGAUAUGAGCCUCCUUUUCACCAAGAGAGAGAUGUAAAAUUUUAAGUGUUGAUCUGAAAAGAUCAACAAGGAGGGAACUGUGGAAGAAGAAUUUUACAUCGCAAGGGUAGAUGGAAUUUAGUCCAAGACAGAAAUUACAUUGCAAGGGUAGAUGGGAAUUUAGGCCAAGACAGAAAAGGCAGCCUUGGGAGAAACUGAUGGCAUAGAGAAAGAAGUUUAAUUAGUUAGCAUGCGGGAUUUUAACGAGCUUGGUAGAAGUCGGGAGGUAGUUACUCAGACUGUGUUAUCACUAUGUGCAUAUUAUCUUAGCUAGAGUUAGAGAAGGAUCUUUUGAUAUAUUGUCACUAUACCAAGGUUUUAGGCUGAAUUAGAGAUGUCCCUUGCAUCCCUGUGGAGCCUAGUUACUGAUAAGCUAGAGCUUCAAUCAAACUGUGUAUCACUCCCUAUGCUAGCUGCAUGCCGAAGGUCAUUUGAAGAAGUAAUUAUUAAGGUAUCUGUAAGACAGCAUUCCUGUUACCUCGAGCAGCGUCUGUUUUCUUUAAACUUACAAUGAAUGAAUCGACAAACACAAGAUGUCACGGGAACACCCUGCUCUGAAGUUAAUGGUAGAAAGGAGAUUGUUAUACUCUAUAUUAGCAGAGUCGGGUGCUGGUGGAGAUCGACACUCACUCUCCUUGGUACCAAGUAAGAAAAUAAACUGCUUCGAACAGGA